GAUGAACGCUGGCGGCGUGCCUAACACAUGCAAGUCGAACGGAGUCGUUUUGGAAAUCUCUUCGGAGAUGGAAUUCUCGACUUAGUGGCGGACGGGUGAGUAAUGCGUGAGCAAUCUGCCUUUAAGAGGGGGAUAACAGUCGGAAACGGCUGCUAAUACCGCAUAAAGCAUUAAAUUCGCAUGUUUUUGAUGCCAAAGGAGCAAUCCGCUUUUAGAUGAGCUCGCGUCUGAUUAGCUAGUUGGCGGGGUAACGGCCCACCAAGGCGACGAUCAGUAGCCGGACUGAGAGGUUGAACGGCCACAUUGGGACUGAGACACGGCCCAGACUCCUACGGGAGGCAGCAGUGGGGAAUAUUGCGCAAUGGGGGAAACCCUGACGCAGCAACGCCACGUGAUUGAAGAAGGCCUUCGGGUUGUAAAGAUCUUUAAUCAGGGACGAAACAAAUGACGGUACCUGAAGAAUAAGCUCCGGCUAACUACGUG
rnacentral:rRNA from 1 species